GUGUCAGCCGCCGCGGUAAUACAGAGGGUGCAAGCGUUGCUCGGAAUCAUUGGGCGUAAAGGGCAAGUAGGUGGUCUCAUUUGUCUUGUGUGAAAUCCUUGGGCUUAACUCAAGAAGUGCGCAAGAAACGGUGAGACUAGAGUUCUGGAGAGGGUCGUGGAAUUCCCGGUGUAGCGGUGAAAUGCGUAGAGAUCGGGAGGAACACCAGAGGCGAAGGCGGCGACCUGGACAGAUACUGACACUCAACUGCGAAAGCGUGGGGAGCAAACAGGAUUAGAUACCCUGGUAGUCC
rnacentral:rRNA from 1 species